rnacentral:rRNA from 1 species
CGCAUCUGUGCAUGCAGCAUAUCAAUAAGCGGAGGAAAAGAAACUAACAAGGAUUCCCCUAGUAACGGCGAGUGAAGCGGGAAGAGCUCAAAUUUGAAAUCUUAAAGGGUUUCCCUUUACGAAUUGUAGUUUAAAGAAGUGUUUUCUGUUGAGGUUUUGGUAAAAGUUCUUUGGAAUAGGACAUCAUAGAGGGUGAGAAUCCCGUAUUUGACCUUUACUUUCAACUUUGUGAUACACUUUCAAAGAGUCGGAUUGUUUGGGAAUGCAGUCCAAAAUGGGUGGUAAAUUUCAUCUAAAGCUAAAUAUUGGCGAGAGACCGAUAGCGAACAGGUACCGUGAGGGAAAGAUGAAAAGAACUUUGAAAAGAGAGUUAAACAGUACGUGAAAUUGUCAAAAGGGAAGCGUUUGACACCAGUGUUGUUUUUCUGAAAAUCAAUUAAAGAACUGUUUAUGCUAAGUUGUUUAGACUUUAUCAGCUAACUGUUUAGUUUUGAGCUUUUCUUUAAUGCACUUUUCAGUUAACAAGUCAACAUCAAUUUCUUUUGCUGUAAAAAAGCUUGAGGAAGGUGGCUUGAGAUUCGUCUUAAGUGUUUAUAGCCUCUUGCCUAUGCAGUCGGAGAGAUUGAGGUCUGCAGCGUAGAUCCUUCGGGGCUAAAUGCAUUUGUGCUAAGUUAUAGCAUUUUAUAGACAACUUGUUGACUAUGAUUUGUCUUGUAGCUUACUCGCUUAUGUUAUUUUACCUACGCUUAGGAUGUUGACAGCAGUAUAGACUGU